GACCGGGACUCCCAACUGGCUCAGUCGGAAGAGCGUACAACUCUCGAUCUUGGGGUCGGGAGUCGAGCCUCACAUUGGGUGUAGAGCUUACUUAAAAAUCAUCGUCACCAUCAUCCUAGGAUGGGUUUCUAGAAGGAGGAUUGUUCCUUCAACACAGAUAAUGAGAUUGUGUAGUGAAACCGCUUUCCUGCUAUGUGGGACCUGCCCCUCUCCCAGGUCACUGGCCCUGCCCCCUGACGUCAUCGUCACAUCGGUCCUACUAACGUGGGAAGUGGGCGUGGCGUCUGUCGGUCGCAGUUGACGUUCUCAAAGCGCAGCAUGGCAACCCGUGACUUGGAUGUGCCACGUUUUGCCCUCUUACUCGGCAUUUAAGUUGUUCCUAAUUUCUCACUGUUGUAACUAAUGUCGCAUUGAAUAUCCUCGUGCACAAAUUAUCCCCAGCGUUGCCACAUUUCCGCUUUUGCCCACGCAUCUACAAGGCUUGCCCCUCAAUUUCUUCAGGUCCCUGCUCUCUGCCACUUCCCUGAGCACCCUCUACUAAAUAAUCCCCUCGGCCUGGCACCCCCUGGCCCCCUCACCCUGCUUUAUUUUUCUUCCAGGUCACCUCAGCCGACAUGCUGUUUAUUUCUUUAUGGUCUGGUCCCCACCACUGUGACGCGGCUCCACGGAGGUGUGGGUUUUUCAUCGGCUAUUGUAAAAGUAACACGUGUUCAUGAAAUCAGAUGUAUAAAUAGAAAAAUAGGACAAAGGAGGCCCCAAACACAAUGGGUCCUGUUUGGAUAGGUUUCCUCUAGUCUUUUGUUGUUGUUUCGAUUUUAACGCAAUUAAAAUCGUACUAUGUAUGUAAUUCUGUAACCGCUUUGUUCAGUGAACAGGGUGCCAUGCGGAUCAUCCCACGGUCUUCGGGGCGCGUGUACGCGGUGUGUGGGUGUGCGCCACCAGGGACGAUUGUAACCCAUCGUAAGCAGGUCCAUGUGGCUUGGAAGCAAGUUUACAGCACCAAGCGUUCCACGACAGAAGGGGAAGCGUUUCGAGUAUUUUCCAGAGGGCACGGGAAGCCCCUCAACCACCAGAGCCCCGUGUGUCACAGGGCACAGUUCGGUGGUAUUAAAUAACUCGCGCCUGGGUGGCUCAGCUGGUCGAGUUGCCGAUUUCGAUUCAGGUCACGAUCUCACAGCUCGUGCGUUCGAGACCCGAGUCAGGCUCUGCGAUGAGUUUAGAGCCUACUUGGGGU